rnacentral:rRNA from 1 species
GACGGGGGGGGCUAGUGUUAUUCGGAAUGACUAGGCGUAAAGCGCACGCAGGCGGUCUUGUCAGUCUGUAGGGACAGGGCACAGCUCAACUGUGUCAGGCUUACGGAAACUGCAAGACUUGAGGGCUUCAGAGGGAUGGGGAAUUCCGGGUGGAGUGGUGAAAUGCGUAGAGAUCCGGAAGAACACCAAAGGCGAAGGCACCAUCCUGGGG